CUACCUCGACUCGCGAAUGCAUCUCAGAUUAUUAGUUUGAUCAUGGCUCAGAGUGAACGCUGGCGGUAGGCCUAACACAUGCAAGUCGAACGGCAGCACAGGAGAGCUUGCUCUCUGGGUGGCGAGUGGCGGACGGGUGAGGAAUAUAUCUGGAAUCUACUCUGUCGUGGGGGAUAACGUGGGGAAACUUACGCUAAUACCGCAUACGACCUACGGGUGAAAGCAGGGGAUCUUCGGACCUUGCGCGAUUGAAUGAGCCGAUGUCGGAUUAGCUAGUUGGCGGGGUAAAGGCCCACCAAGGCGACGAUCC
rnacentral:rRNA from 1 species